rnacentral:rRNA from 1 species
UACGUAGGAGGCAAGCGUUGUCCGGAAUUACUGGGCGUAAAGCGCGUGUAGGUGGUGGGACAAGUCUGCUGUGAAAGUGCCUGGCUUAACCGGGCGAGGUCGGCGGAAACUGUCCGACUCGAGGACGGUAGAGGGGGGGUGGAAUUCCCGGUGUAGUGGUGAAAUGCGUAGAGAUCGGGAGGAACACCUGUGGCGAAGGCGGCCCCCUGGGCCGGCCCCUGACACUGAGACGCGAAGGCGUGGGGAGCGAACGGG